rnacentral:piRNA from 1 species
UUCCAUGGGUUACAUUUACUGUGCUG